rnacentral:misc_RNA from 1 species
GUGAUUAAAUCGAGCGUGUCUUCAUUGACCGCUCACCCUUCUCACCCACCCACAUACACCUGUGCACUGUUUAGCCUGAGCCGGUUUUCCGGUCCAGGUUAUCAUUUCAUACAAACUCUAGUCUUAUGAAUGUAAACGUUUUAAUAACAUAAUA